AACGAACGCUGGCGGCGCGUCUUAAGCAUGCAAGUCGAACGGCAAGAGAGGAGCUUGCUUCUCUCCUAGAGUGGCGGACUGGUGAGGAACACGUGGGUAAUCUACCCUUAAGAUGGGGAUAGCUGCUAGAAAUAGCAGGUAAUACCGAAUACACUCGGCAUAUCACAAGAGGUGUUGAGGAAAGGAAGCUACGGCUUCGCUUGAGGAUGGGCUUGCGUCCCAUUAGCUAGUUGGUGAGGUAAAGGCCCACCAAGGCGACGAUGGGUAUCCGGCCUGAGAGGGUGAACGGACACAUUGGGACUGAGAUACGGCCCAAACUCCUACGGGAGGCAGCAGCUAAGAAUAUUCCGCAAUGGACGGAAGUCUGACGGAGCGACGCCGCGUGGAUGAAGAAGGCUGAAAAGUUGUAAAAUCCUUUUGUUGAUGAAGAAUAAGGGUGAGAGGGAAUGCUCAUCUGAUGACGGUAAUCGACGAAUAAGCCCCGGCUAAUUACGUG
rnacentral:rRNA from 1 species